rnacentral:rRNA from 1 species
UACGUAGGGGGCAAGCGUUGUCCGGAUUUAUUGGGCGUAAAGGGCGCGUAGGCGGUGUGUCAAGUCAGGCGUGAAAGCCCCGGGCUCAACCUGGGAACCGCGCUUGAGACUGGCACGCUAGAGUUCGGGAGAGGAUGGUGGAAUUCCCAGUGUAGAGGUGAAAUUCGUAGAUAUUGGGAAGAACACCGAUGGCGAAGGCAGCCAUCUGGACCGACACUGACGCUGAGGCGCGAAAGCGUGGGGAGCGAACAGG